CCGAUGCAAAGAGACAAGAUGGAAGUCUCUUCAUGGCCCUCUCUUAGCUCUGGCACCUGAGCGUCAGUUGGAGAUGGUGGGAGGGGCCUCAGCCGAUGCAAAGAGACAAGAUGGAAGUCUCUUCAUGGCCCCCUCUUAGCUCUGGCACCCGAGCGUCAGUUGGAGUUGGACUUGGUUGUAGUUGGACUUGGUUGUUUGUUCAGUUCACUUCACUUACAGACAGAUUAACCAGACCAAUCUAACUAAUGGUUAACAGAACCCUCGCUCUAUCUCUGAGAAUAGUAACAAGUCUGACUAACCUAACUAGGUAGUCCCCUGGGUUAUUAACUAACUCUAACUAGAGUUCUUCCUGUUAAUUAGCCCAGUAUAGAGAGUCAAUCCCUUGUGCUAAUUCCCACAAGAAACCACCCUGCUGUCUGACCCUUUUCCUGUCAGCUCACAGCAAUUGACUCUGUAACCUACACUUCCCAAACUCUUUCUCUCUCCCAACAACUCUCCAACUCCAACCUCCAACUCUGACUGAAGCUCCCUUCCUUCUCUCCCUCCUUUCUAAGACUUGGCUCCUCCCAACUUCCUCUGGCCAAUCCUAGGAGUCUCCAAAACUCCUCCCCUUUUAACCAGCCUCACUUAAGAUGGCUGCCUCCCUGGUAUGCUCUCCUAAAAUGGAGGCCUGCCCACUGUUAUCCAGGCUCCUUUUCCGGCCUAACAGAGAUUGUGAGCACUUUGUGAGAGAAUACUUCUAGAACAUGGCCAUACAGCCCGGAAAACAUGCAACAACCCUGUGAUCCCGGCCAUGAAAGCCUCCAACAACACAUUGAGGACAUUCCUCUGCAGCCAAAACAUCUGGGGACCCACAGGUUGAGAACCAAUGCUCUAGAGGAACUAUUCCAAGACUUUGAGUUGGAUAUGUGAAACUGCAAAUAUAGCAACGCCUAUUGAAAUGAAGAAUUCUAGCCCAAGCAUACCAAAGUAUUGUGCUCGAGUACAUAAAAAAUGCCUAUAGAAGGCACAUUUUGUUGUCUUUGAAUAAAUAAUGCUGCAGAUACUGGUCUCGUGAAUAUGGGGAUCACACUGCAAUCCCUUUCUUUCUCUUGAGAGGAAGGAAUUAUAUGAAGCUAAAAGCUAUGCUCCAAUAGCUCCAUUCUAUAACUUGUUAAUCCAGCAGUCCUUAGUAUAAUGCAGAAAUAUUCUGUUGAUGGCAUGAAUGUGUGCACAGCAUUUUAAGAACAAUUCAAAACCCGGAGAAGUUCCUUUUUUGGUUUAUGGCUGGUAGAAUCCCUUAGCUAGUUGAGGAAUUUUGAGGAGUUGUAGUCCAAAAUAGUAAUUUUUCCAGGCACAGAGACAUAGCAACAAGGAAGACCUCUGUGGGAAGUCUGCACUAAACCAUUUAAUGCAUUGCUUCCACAUUUGUUUGAAUGAAAAUCUGUAGAGGUACAGAAGAUCUUUUUUUUCGCAGAACCAAUCAGAGAAGCUGAAAAUGCUUUUAAAGCAAAAGGGGAGAACGGAUGUGGUUUAGUCUAAACAGGAUUUAUUUAAGGUUUAAGCAGUCUUUUCUCCCUUGGGGAAUUUAUGCUGCCAUUUAAAUGUUUAUUUCCGAAUAUUUUACACAUCACUGCAAUCACUUUCAGAUGACUUAAACAUAUGCAUGGUAUUAUUGUUUAUGCCUUCUGUCAUCUCAUACAUUUUUCUUCAGCUGUUCUUUAUUUUGAAACCACUUUGAUGUCUCUUGAUUUAGGACUUGCCAAGAUGGGAAAUCCUAAUCAAGGCAGCCACUACUUCAGAAGGGCUUUUUUGGCAUUCAAUCACAGAUUUAUUUCUUUUUAAAAGUGAGGAUAAGUAAGAGAAUAUACAUGCUGAUCUCAGCUGUAGCGUUGUUUGAUCUUUCGACUUUUGCACCAAUUAGCAUAUAUAUCUUGGUAAAUUUGCUCUGUGGAAAUCCCCAGUUGGCUUGAUUUGCCAUUACCUGUUGCUAUUGAAGACCAAAUAUGUAUCCAACUUGCAAAUGAGAUAAAAGUGGGAUGAGGAUAUGGACUAGUUUAUAAGCCCACCUCCAGUAGUUGAGUCCUGCCCAUUCAAUCUUGACCAUCUCAUGUUUUGUGAUGGAACAUUUGAAGGGGAGUCUCCACUCAUGCUUUCUUGAAUGUCAACAAGAGAUUCUGUGUAAUUGGGAGAGCCUCUUUGGAUUUAUUUGCAUGCCUAUUCGCAUUCUUUAUUUUACUCUCAUAUGGACAAGCUGAGCCUUAACAUAAACAAUCCUCAUUAUUUAUAUAUUUGUUAACAUAAUCUUA